AGUCUGUAGGGUGGGGCACCUGGCCAAGCCUCUCCCUCUCACUGUCCAGCAGUUAGGGCCAGAGAGCCUUGAGUUGGAGAGCUGGGGAGAUGGGAGGCUCCGCGGCAUGGGAGAGGGACCCUCCAGGGACCCUUCAAGCCCACUGGAGACAGCAUGGACCAGGUCUUGCUAUGCAGCUCUGGCCAGCCCCGUGUGAUAAUUCUCCUGCUUCUGCCUCCCGAGCUGGGAUGCCAGGCCUGUACCAACACACCCAGCUUUUGUGUGAGUCCAUCACAGUGAGCAAGACCGAAAGCAGGCAGCUUCUCUUUGUUUGCGGUUGGAAUGCUUAACGGCCGCUGGAAGUGAGUGGCCAGUGGAUUGUGCAAAGCCGAUACAGAGAUACAGAGCACGCCCUUCCACCCUUCCACCUGGCGUUCCGGCCAGAGAGCGCUCCAGACAGCACCGUCCCAGAAUGCGCUGCGCAAAACCAGGGAUGUUUGUCCGGUUUGAUCAUUGCUGUGUGGCAGUGUCCAGUGAAGCACUGCAAAUAAAAUUAGAAAUCUGGGGGACUUUUGGUAUAGCAUUGGAAAUGUAAAUGAGUUAAAUACCUAAUAAAAAAUGGAAAAAAAAUAAAAUAAAAUUAGAAAUCAGCAAAUAGC
rnacentral:lncRNA from 1 species